CCCCAACCUGUUGAGUCACCUGUGCUCUCUGCCUCUGGGACCGGUGUGCAGUGGCUUUGGACAACACCAGUCUCUUCAGUACUGGAGCAGCCUGUGGCUUUUAUAGGCUGUAAGAAGGGACGUUGGAGAUUCCU